rnacentral:rRNA from 1 species
GACGAACGCUGGCGGCGUGCUUAACACAUGCAAGUCGAACGGUAAGGCCCUUCGGGGUACACGAGUGGCGAACGGGUGAGUAACACGUGGGUGAUCUGCCCUGCACUUCGGGAUAAGCCUGGGAAACUGGGUCUAAUACCGGAUAGGACUCCGGACUGCAUGGUCUGGGGUGGAAAGCUUUUGCGGUGUGGGAUGGGCCCGCGGCCUAUCAGCUUGUUGGUGGGGUGAUGGCCUACCAAGGCGACGACGGGUAGCCGGCCUGAGAGGGUGACCGGCCACACUGGAACUGAGAUACGGCCCAGACUCCUACGGGAGGCAGCAGUGGGGAAUAUUGCACAAUGGGCGCAAGCCUGAUGCAGCGACGCCGCGUGAGGGAUGACGGCCUUCGGGUUGUAAACCUCUUUCAGCACCGACGAAGCGCAAGUGACGGUAGGUGCAGAAGAAGGACCGGCCAACUACGUGCCAGCAGCUGCGGUAAAAC